ACUUAAAUAGUUUAAUUAAAAUUUUGGUUUGUGGUAUCAGAGAUGUAAUUAUAUAUAUAUUACUUUAAGUU
rnacentral:tRNA from 1 species